rnacentral:rRNA from 1 species
AUUGAACGCUGGCGGCAUGCUUUACACAUGCAAGUCGAACGGUAACAGGUUAAGCUGACGAGUGGCGAACGGGUGAGUAAUGCAUCGGAACGUGCCCGGUCGUGGGGGAUAACGCAGCGAAAGUUGCGCUAAUACCGCAUACGAUCUGAGGAUGAAAGCGGGGGACCGUAAGGCCUCGCGCGAUCGGAGCGGCCGAUGUCAGAUUAGGUAGUUGGUGGGGUAAAGGCUCACCAAGCCAACGAUCUGUAGCUGGUCUGAGAGGACGACCAGCCACACUGGGACUGGGACACGGCCCAGACUCCUACGGGGGGCAGCAGUGGGGAAUUUUGGACAAUGGGCGAAAGCCUGAUCCAGCAAUGCCGCGUGCAGGAAGAAGGCCUUCGGGUUGUAAACUGCUUUUGUACGGAGCGAAAAGGUCUCCUCUAAUACAGGGGGCUCAUGACGGUACCGUAAGAAUAAGCACCGGCUAACUACGUGCCAGCAGCCGCCGCCG